rnacentral:tRNA from 1 species
CGUCGGCGGUGCGCAGGCCGUGGCGAUGUUCGCCUACGGUGCGGACGGCACGGAGCCGCAGGACGGCGACGUGCUGUGCGAGCCGGUCGACGUCGU